CAGAACUUUCAAAGUGCAUCUGGAUACAUGCUUUUCAACAUCUAAAGCUUCCAUCUAGUGGUGCGGAAGAAGCAACCUUCUGAUGUUUCUGCCCCAGAGCAAAGUGUGGCAUCAUCAAAUCUGCUGACCUUAAAGACAGACUCUGACUUCCUGAGUUGGACAUAUGAGAGACAGUGAAGGUCUGUGUAUGGAUUGCCCUUUCUUCUGAAUCUGCUUUCUGGCCAGACUCUCCACUAUAUAAGAUUAUCAUUUUUUUCAGUCAGUAAACAAAACUUAAACUGAGAUACGGGAUUUUAAGUAUAUCGUAGCUGGAAGUCGCAUCUUGGAAGGAACAGUUAAGCAUGAAUGCAUAUCUGAACACAGUAAGUCUCUCUCAUCACUUCAGUAUUGAC